rnacentral:rRNA from 1 species
UACGAAGGGGGCUAGCGUUGUUCGGAAUUACUGGGCGUAAAGGGCGCGUAGGCUGUGCUGUAAGUCAGGCGUGAAAUCCCCGGGCUCAACCUGGGGAUUGCGUUUGAUACUGCGGCGCUGGAAUGCAGGAGAGGAUGGCGGAAUUCCCAGUGUAGAGGUGAAAUUCGUAGAUAUUGGGAAGAACACCGGUGGCGAAGGCGGCCAUCUGGCCUGUAAUUGACGCUGAGGCGCGAAAGCGUGGGGAGCAAACAGG